rnacentral:lncRNA from 1 species
UUAAUUAAAAUUUUGAUUUUAAUUAAAUUAAUUUGCCCUUAAUUAUUGUAAUUAGACUCUAAUUUUGUAAUUUAAUUAAAAUUUGAUUUUAAUUAAAUUCCACCGCCUUAAAUUGUGAAAUUAGAGUUUGGCUCUAAUUUGAUUUUUAAUUAAAAUUUGAUUUUAAUUAAAUAAUCCCGUCAUAUAAUUGUUGAAUUAGAGUUGGACUCUAAUUUGGUAUUUAAUUAAAAUUAGAUUUUAAUUAAAUAUGCUCGCUAAUUAAAUAAUUGGUUAAUAUGAUUAAUUAAUUAUUUAAUUGUUUCGAUCCUUUUGUUUAAAAGAGUUUAGACGACUUAAUUGCUAGAAACUUGAAACUUAGAUGUUAUAUAGGUAUACAUUUAUGUGAUGAAUGUAUUAUUAGUGGACGAUUAUGGACUCGACCAUAUGGAUAUGUUGAAUGGUUAAUUUUUAGUCUUGUUGUUUUCUGGGCCUGCGAGCUCUUAAUUGUUUUAGGCCUACGAGCCUGUUAUUAUUAUUAUUAUUCUGGACCUGCGAGCUCUUGAUCAUUUUGGACCUGCGAGUCUAUUAUUAUUAUUAUUGCUGUGGGCCUGCGAGUCCAAUUUCAUUUAGGCCUGCGUGCCAACAAGUAUAGGAUACAGGUUGCAAUUGGACUAAUUGAAGAGACAAGAAGAGGAGGAGACCAUGGAGAUGGUGCAUUGAUACUGUUCAAUGCUAUACUUUUUAGGAAUUGACCAACUAGUCUUCCUUAUGGCUCGGGAAGACUAGAUAGUAAAAGUCUAUUAUCGUCCACACUAUUAUAUUAUGUUAUAUAUAUAUAUUUAUUUGCAUGAUAGACGUCUANNNNNNNNNNNNNNNNNNNNNNNNNNNNNNNNNNNNNNNNNNNNNNNNNNNNNNNNNNNNNNNNNNNNNNNNNNNNNNNNNNNNNNNNNNNNNNNNNNNNNNNNNNNNNNNNNNNNNNNNNNNNNNNNNNNNNNNNNUUUGAUGAGACUUUUGAAUGCAAAGUCCUUCCACAAAAAAUUAAGUCACAUUUAUGAUUGCCUUCCAUCAUUAUAGUGAAAAAUUAGAGUUCCAAAUUGUCUCAACUUGUUGAGUACACUCAAAGCUGGUCUAUUAGGGAUAUAUUUGACACUAUGAAAUAUUAGAUAUUAUUGAAUGAUGGGUUCGACUUAACUAAAAUUUAUCUUCUAUUGAGUACAUUCAAAGAGAUAAAUUUUUACACUCAAGGAGAUAAAUUUUAUAGGCAUGUUAAGCUAACACAUAAGAUGUGUGAAGACAAAGAUUUGUCAGCUUAAUGAUCUGGGAGUUGUAUGGAGAUACAAUUGAUAAUAGUAUCUACCUAAAUGUUAUAUUAGGGCUUGUUGAGUACACUCAAGGUCUUAAUAUAAUAGAUGGGAUCUCAGCCCACUGGGAGUCAAACAUGGACUCCAUAAAUUGUAAGAGGGUCAUAAAUUUUAGUUAAACAGUGGGAGUAUAAUUAAUUUAAUAAAAGUCCAUGUUAAAUUAAUUAAUGCAUUUUAUAUAUUAUUUUUUCCUUUUUUGUCAUUUUUACUUAUUGAAUAAUAAGUAACCAUAUGUAUUUGAAUGACAUACUAGAUGUCAACAACCAAACUAGAUUUUCUUAAUUGAUACACCAAUUUGAGAAUUGUUCUCAUGCAUGAGAAAAUUGGUCACGUCUUUAAGUAGCCCUUUCCAGAGACACCUACUAAUGUCUCGAUUAAAGAAGAGGUGGCUAUCGAAAUAAACGUAGUGAUGACAAUAGUACUGCAACAUAUGUGAUGCUUGCAAUUAUGUCACUGAGUUACAAAAGCAACUUGAGAGUAUAGAUGUUAACACAUAAUUUUUCAUUACAAAGAGUUGUAUGAUAAUAAUCAUGUGUGUAAGGAUAUGAGACUUCCAAACAACUAUACCGGCGCAAAAUAACAGAAUAAUCUUCAAUCGAUGCUUAGACACUGAAGAUGAUUGACGUUGAGAAAUGUCUCAAUUAAGUUCAAUCAUAAACCAUGAAUUAAGUAGUGACUUGGUUCUGCAAUCUCUGUCAGCUAAAGCUAUUCACAAUUAAUUAUGAAUUUAACAUGAAUAAGUUCGAAUGCAAAAUUAUUAAGUUGCUUAACAUGCUUAGGACUGUUAAGCCCUUUAUCAAAGUUGGUAGUGGGCAAACCAUUGAUUCCUCUAAAGAUAUUAAAAAAUCUAAAGGGGCUUUGUGAAAGCAUCAUAUAUGGUUAAGACAAUCUAAGCGAAGGACAAAUAUCAAAUCUAAUGACCCUUGUUUUCAUUGUAAAAUGAAAGGUCAUUGGUAAGAACUGUAACGACCCAAAUUUAUUUUAUUUUAUUUUAUUAUAAUUAUUUUUUUUUUUAUUAUUUUAGUCGCUACCAACUUUAUUAUAAAAGGAUCAAAUUUAUUGGAAACCACAUGAUUAAUAAAUUUUAAAUUAUCAUCUGGCACAUUCUAGAAAUCUAAUCUGCUAGGAGUAAAUGAGUAUAUUGCGAUGUGUUCAUGGCCAACUAAACAUUUUAACUAAAGAAUUUUAGCUAACAGAUGACAAAAGACAAAGAUACUUUUAAAAACUUAUUUUCAUUAAGAAAAUCCAAACACGUUACAUCACAUGGCUAUGAGAGUUACAUUUACUACUUUGAAAUGAAUUUGUCAGUAAAGAAAUAUUCAAUUAUUAUUAAACAGUGACAUUGGUGUAAGAAAUAAUAUUUAAGUCGAACAGUAUAUAAAAUGAAAUGACAUUUGUCCGUAUUUAACAUCUUUUAUACUAGCAUGAUUAGUGAAUAUGGGUUAUGAAUAUUUUAUCAUAAAAUCCAAUUUAAAGUACAAAUGAAUAAUACAACUCCACUGCAUAAAGUUAACUGUGGUAGGCAGACAAUUGAAAAUUUGGUGUGACAAGUACAGAAUCAUUGUUUUGGCCAUGCAUGUUAUAAAUCUUGAAAAGGCUGUAGAUGCCUUAGAAAAAUGCAAAAGUCUUUGACGUGAACUUGACAGUUAAUCAAUUUUCUUUUAACCAUUAAAAUCGAUAAAAGCAGUAACAUAUAGUUCGAGCUCUAUUUAAAAUGAAUUAAACAAAAAAAAAAUCCAUGUAGCAAAUAAACAUAAUUGAUAACUUAAUCUUUAAAAUAGGAUGUCUAUGGCAAUGAACUAAAAUUACUUGUUAAAAUUAUAAAUUCUCGUCCAGCAAAUGAGGCACAACCACGCAUCGAACAACCACGCUCCAAUAGGACCCGAUCUAACCUGUGAGGUGUAGGAAAAUGGUGAGUACAUGGGAAUACUCAGUAGGAUAUCACAUUAAUGGUGCGAUCCCAAAAAAUAAUUUUAACACAAGUGUCAGAAGACCAUACCGUCGCAUAACUUUAACUCCGGUAAGAGCUCACAUCAUAUCAUAUCGUUUCAUUUCAUUGUACCGGAAUGACCAUAUCAUUCAUAUCAUAGCAUUAAUAUCAUAACUUUAACUUUCAUAAAUAUGAAAUUCGUCCACAUGUAGCCAAAAUAAUUAAACGGGAAAUUAAAAAAAAAUAUUGCACCUCAUAUCCUACGUUGUUAAACUGCUUAAAUUUUGGAAGUCAAAACAAGGUUCACACUCCAACAAUUUCUUGGAAUAAGAAAACCCAAAAUCACGUUGCAACUAUCUUUUCUUUUCUUUUUGCCUUAUCGUGCAAUAAUAUUACAGUGAGGUGAAUAAAAGCUAUUGUUUUCAUAUGAUAUAAUAAAAAUAUCUAUAUAAAAAAAAUGAGGAAACGUGUGGGAGUGGGAAAAGAGAUAUGAAUCAAAAUAGUUGAAACAGAAAUUUGACCCAAAUCUUGCCAACUGUUCACAAUUUAAAAAAAUAAUUUAUAUCUUACACGUGGCAGUGCACCAUAUAUAUA